rnacentral:tRNA from 3 species
GCCGCCUUAGCUCAGUUGGUUAGAGCGCCGGAUUGUGGAUCCGGAGGUCCCCCGUUCAAGCCGGGGAGGCGGUACCA